AGAGGGAGGGAGAGUCCGAGCCGCCAUCAGCAUCCAGCGGAGUCAUGGUGGACCAGGGACGAACACACACAUAAAUAAUGGACGUCUUGUGCACGAGCUCAGUAACGGAUCUGUCCAUGCACGAGCCCAGGUUACCACUGAAGCAGGAGGGAGUGGAUGAGCCGGAAUUUCAGGCUUUUUUAUCCGAGUCUUUUCUGUCUAAAUCACAACCCCUGUGCACGCUGAUGCAACACCACAAUGAUGGAGCUGGAGACGCACGCCGACCCCGGCACGAAGUAAACGGAGUGAUACUCGAUAUUAAAACAGAACCGGAUCUGUCGGAUGUCGAAGCCUUUGUCUACAGCGAUAAUCCUGAAGAUUUGUCGACCUCUAAAGACGGGUGGAAUUGUAAAUCUGAACGGGAGAGCGAGUACACCCUUGAGGAGUGUGAUGAUGGAUGCAAUAUGCUAACUAUCAUUAAAAUGGAGCCUAACGAUGAAGAACUCGGCUUCUGUACCGAACUGCAGGCAAAUUCUAAAAUGGAAUCGAUAGAAAUAUCGAAUAGUGAAGAAGAGGAGGAAGAAGAAGAAUGUGACAUAUCACAUGAGGAUAAUGAGGAGGAAAGUCUGACAGGUACGUCAGAGGAAUGUGAGAACUAACGCUAACGCACACUCUAACUUAUUGUGAAACUGAGAGGUGGAAAAAAUCUUACAUUUUGGCUAUUUAAAGUCAAUUCCUGGUGGCGUGUGUAUGUGAUUAUCUUCGAUCAAUAAACAGACAUAAAUAUUGCUUUAUCAAAAUACAGUGGAAUUUUCCAAAUACAGUGGAAUUUUGCCACACUUCCUGUUUUUGUGGUGUAAUAUUUUAUUGAUCAGGUUGCCAUGACGACCCCCUGCUAAACUGAUUUAAUUAGAAAAUGACAAAUCCAGCAAGAGGACUAUUUUAAAGUUUGAUAAGUGAUAAAUCAUGAAUAUAACUUGCUGUUCUGUGUAUACGGUCAUGAUAUUUAAUUAUUAAGGAAACCCAUAUACCAUUGACCCCCGCGAAGUCGCGGUUCAGAGUUCGGAGCUUCAUUUGUUCACUCGUAGAAUCUAACUAAUGAUUGUUUGUGGAAAGCCUCAUAAUUUCGAUAAAACCACAAUUAUCCAGUGCAACAAUAUCAUUUACAAAUUUUGUAAUAUAAAUAUUUAACAUGAAUUCAGCUAAAUUUCCAUAUAAAUAUAAUACUGUGUAUUUUUUUUUUGUACUAUAGAGCGAACACAAAGAGAAGAGAAACACGGCUUCUGAUGGCGAAUGCUCCUACCUGCCCUCUGCUAAAGUCUUUAAGCCUUGCUCCGAGUGCGGAAAGAUGUUUCCUACUUCAUCGUCAUACAACAGACACAUGCGGAUACACAGCGGUGAAAGACCUUUCCAGUGCUCUCAUUGCAAUAAGACAUUUGUUCAGUUCUCUUCAUUUAAAAUCCACCAAAGGAUACACACUGGAGAGAAGCCGUAUCCCUGCUCAGAGUGCGACAAAACCUUCAGCCGUAUAGACUCUCUCCAACUCCACCAGAGAACUCAUACCGGAGAAAAGCCGUACCAGUGCGCUCACUGUCCCAAAACCUUCACUCGCCUACACGUGCUUCAGAACCAUCAGAGGACACACACCGGGGUAAAGCCGUAUCAGUGCUCGCACUGCGGCAAAACAUUCCCACGCCUAUGCAGCUUCAAGGUACAUAAAAGACGGCAUACGGGAGAGAAACCAUACUCGUGUGGAACAUGUGGAAAACAGUUUGUGGACGCCUCGAAUCUAAAGAACCACCAGAGGGUGCACACGAAGGAGCGGCCGUAUCAGUGCUCACACUGCAACAAGACCUUCAUUCAGCUCGGGCAUCUCACCAGCCACUGCAAAAAACACCACAGGUGACUGUGCUCUGACUGUAGGAGGCGCUACAAUUCUUUACCAUAAGCAACACGUACUUUCAUUAUCCAGAGUCCAAAUGGCUCAUGAGUUAAUGACUAUUUAGUAGAUUGUACUGUAUGUGGACAUAUAAAUAAUAGUCUGAUUUAAGUCAUACAAUCAAAGUUAAUUUUCUGAAGCAAGCUCUGACAUCAAUUAAGUCUAUACAUCUUUACCAUGUAUAUAUUUAUUUAUACUAUAUUUUUACCUUUUUUUUUUAUCAGAUAUUAUCCAGUAGAAUGCAUUAUGUGCAUAUUAUGUUCUAAUGGUGUUGCUCAAUGUAAGUUUUUAUUUUUUAUUUUUUUAUUGAUUCUACAGUCACUACAGAGAUUAUUG